rnacentral:lncRNA from 1 species
AGCCAGCUAAAAUGGUUUCCAAGUCUCUGGCCUUCGUGUGCGUCAUCUUCGCCUUCCUCGUCAUCGUCUCGCAAGGCGUGGUUGCUGCUAGGGAUCUCACCCAUGGUAAUGUUUCUUUCACUGAAUUAAUAUCUACUCCCUCCGUUUCAAAAUAGAUGACUCAACUUUGUACUAACUUUAGUAUAAAGUUAAUAUAAAGUUGGGUCAUCUAUUUUAUAACGGAGGAAGUACCUUGUUUAUUUGUAUUUCUGUGUUCCUUCUGUGGCAACUGCAGAGGAGCUUGAUUGUAUGGCUAAGAUUGGGCUGGGUGUGCAGUAAAUUCUCCAUGGAGGGAGUAAAUCUACAUGCCAUGGUUAUUUCUAAUGAUGUUGCCUUACCUUGGCUGCAGUUAACAGAGCAGGAGGUAACAAUUAUGGUGGUGGCUGGUCGGGCUCGUAUGGAGGGCGACGCCCAUGACGGAUGCUCUUCGUGGGAAUCCGGCAAAUAAAUGCAGUUCCGGCUUGCUUUUGCAGAUCAUUCAUGUGUAUGGUAUACUAUAUGGUAUAUAUAGUUUCUGUGUACAAGCUAGCUAGGUAUAUAUGUGCCCUGUGUACUCAAGAUGAACUUGAAUGAAAUGUAUCGACUGCUCUGGUGGUUAACGAUCAUUUUCUGACGAAGGGGCUGCGCCGAGCCUGUGCCUUCACUCCAACUCAUCCGGUUUGCCCAAACUGUUUCUCGAAAGUGGGACUCUGCUGGAUUUUGUCUUGCAGCAAAAGGGAGCAGGUAUCUAAAUAUAGCCUGAACAGAAAAUACAUCUUUUUCUAUUCUCUUUAAGAUCCGGAAUUCAUUUCUGGUUUUAACCAGACCAUACAAAAUGGGUGACCCAAGGGGUCGGUCGGCUGGCAAAACGCCUGAAUUGGUCGCCUUCCGCAUCGUAGGACGGGCAACGAUAGCCGUUCGAUGAAGUCCAACUUUCUCACGCGAGUCAUUUUUCUUAUCACGCGCACAGAUCACACCCGAAAAAGAAAAGGUCAGCCUACGAGCAGCUCCCGGCGCCCGACACCAGCCCCCGUCUCUGGAUACAUCGUCGCUGUUAGCCAUAAGCCAUGUGUGCGUGCACGACCGUGGCGCGUCUGUGCGCGUGUGUGACGUGCGUGAGUGGCGCAAGUCCAUAACCAGGUUGUUAACUAGCUUAGUGGAGUUUGUUAGCUAGCCCAUGCAUGCCCAUGUGUUGGCCGGGUCAUGCGUGGAUAGCUGGUGUGGUGUGCGUGCAUGUAGGUAGUGGGUUAGUGGCUGCAUGCGUGUGUUAGUGGCCGGUGUGGCCGUGGAGGUGUGCGUGCGUAAGGCUACUUAUUGAGCCUGCGUGUGUGUAGAGAAGAAGUGAACCCAUUGUAAGACGUGAUGUAGCCUCUCAAUACAAAAGAAACAAGUGGCCGUUCGUGCGGCCGGCGGCGUCCGUGCGCGGGGAAAAACCACCGUGUCCUCGUGUUCAUCUUCCUCCUUCCUUUCUCCUUAGUUGGUUAGAGCCAUGGCAACGCAGAGAGAGAGAAAGAGCUGCGCCAACAUUUGGUAUCAGAGCCGGUUUCAUCUUGGGUGUCGCCUCUUGCCGGAGGCGUACCGGCGGUGGCGGCGCUCGCCGGCGGCUGCGCGAUGGAGCUCUGGGCCGUGUGUCGGCCCAUGGAGGUGGGCGGCGCUGUGGCUCUCAUGGCGCGUGGCGGAUGCGGCGGGCGGUGACGUCGUGGGUGCGUCGACCGCGGAGGCCGCCGAGGCGCUGCGUGGUGGCGCAGCGGCGCAGCACGGCAUGGCGGCAUGGAGGCCGCGGCGGUGCAUGGCAAUAAGACGCGGCGGCGAGCCGGGCGCGGCCGGUGCGUGUUAUGGGUGCGCAUUGGACGCGUCGGGCGCGUUGGAACCGCGGGCGUGGACCGCGUCGAGGCGCUGGACCUGGUUGCGCAGAUCGCGUACGUGCGCGGCGGGAGCGCGGGCCGGAAGCGCGGCGACGUGGGGAGUGCGCGCGAAGGGCACGGCGGUCGCGGAGACGAGGAGGUCGCGAGGGACCUCCGUGAUGGCGCAGAGGUCGCGACAGCUCGGCGCGACAACCGUGGAAGGUGUGUGGUACGGAGACGCGGCGUGGCGGCCCAUGGGACUGCGGGCUGCUGCAGCGGAAGAGAACUUGUGGCGUGUGUCGCCGAAGAUGAAGAAGGGCGUUCCCCGCGUCAACGAGGAGCCGGUGUCCUGUACGUCAGGAUGGGGGUACAGUCAUGGCUUAGGGGGGUGAAUGUUAGCCAUAAGCCAUGUGUGCGUGCACAACCGUGGCGCGUCUGUGCGCGUGUGUGACGUGCGUGAGUGGCGCAAGUCCAUGACCAGGUUGUUAACUAGCUUAGUGGAGUUUGUUAGCUAGCCCAUGCAUGCCCAUGUGUUGGCCGGGUCAUGCGUGGAUGGCUGGUGUGGUGUGCGUGCAUGUAGGUAGUGGGUUAGUGGCUGCAUGCGUGUGUUAGUGGCCGGUGUGGCCGUGGAGGUGUGCGUGCGUAAGGCUACUUAUAGAGCUUGCGUGUGUGUAGAGAAGAAGUGAACCCAUUGUAAGCCGUGAUGUAGCCUUUGAAUACAAAGGAAACAAGUGGCCGUUCGUGCGGCCGGCGGCGUUCGUGCGCUGGGAAAAACCACCGUGUCCUUGUG